UCUACCUCCUUUCAUCAGGGAGCAACAUCAGUUCACAAUGGCCAGCUUCCCUCUAUCUGGGGAACAACAUCAACUUGAUUUCACAAUGGCCAGCUUCCUUUCAUCAGGGGACCAACAUCAGUGUUAGUUCACAAUGGCCAGCUUCCUUCUAUCAGUUGAGCCACAUCAGCCUGAGUUCACGAUGGCCUACCUUCUUCCAUCAGGGAGCAGCAUCAGUGUUAGUUCACAAUGGCUAGCUUCCUUCCAUCAAGGGACCAACAUUAGCACGAUUUCACAAUGAUUCACAGCCUCCUUUCAUCAGGAGAGCAACAAUGGCCAUCCUCCUUCUCUCAGGGGAGCAACAUCAACUGGAGUUCACAAUAGCCAGCCUCCUUCCAUCAUGAGAUCAACAUCAGUGUGAGUUCACAAUGGCAAGCUUCCAUCUAGGGAACAAUAUCAGCCUGAGUUCACAAUGGUCAGCCUUUCUUCUUCCAGUAGGAAGCAUAAUCAUGAGCAUUACAAAAGCCCAGUCUCCCUCCAGGCAACAUCAUCAUAUCUGGGGUUUUUUUAAAGGAGGCAGCAUGUGGCCUUCCAGCAUGUUCUUGGAAAGUGAAGGAGAAAAAUGCCUGAAGCCUGCUAGAAAAAUUGAUGCAAAUAGUAGGAGUGUUUCUCUUGAAACUGCCAAUGAGAAGAGGACUAGAAAGAGAGAAAAAUAAACUACUGAUAAAAUA